rnacentral:miRNA from 1 species
GCUCGGAACGGCCCGGCUCGGGU